rnacentral:rRNA from 1 species
UACGUAGGGUGCGAGCGUUAAUCGGAAUUACUGGGCGUAAAGCGUGCGCAGGCGGUCUGUUAAGACCGAUGUGAAAUCCCCGGGCUUAACCUGGGAACUGCAUUGGUGACUGGCAGGCUUUGAGUGUGGCAGAGGGAGGUAGAAUUCCACGUGUAGCAGUGAAAUGCGUAGAGAAUGUGGAGGAAUACCGAUGGCGGAAGGCAGCCUCCUGGGC